rnacentral:rRNA from 1 species
GACGAACGCUGGCGGCGUGCUUAACACAUGCAAGUCGAACGGAAAGGCCCUGCUUUUGUGGGGUGCUCGAGUGGCGAACGGGUGAGUAACACGUGAGUAACCUGCCCUUGACUUUGGGAUAACUUCAGGAAACUGGGGCUAAUACCGGAUAGGAGCUCCUGCUGCAUGGUGGGGGCUGGAAAGUUUCGGCGGUUGGGGAUGGACUCGCGGCUUAUCAGCUUGUUGGUGGGGUAGUGGCUUACCAAGGCUUUGACGGGUAGCCGGCCUGAGAAGAUGACCGGCAACAAUACGACUGAGAAACGCGACAGACUCGUACGGGAGCCAGCAGAGAGGAAUAUUACACAAUAGGCGGAAGCCUGAUGCAGCAACGCCGCGUGCGGGAUGACGGCCUUCUGGUUGUAAACCGCGUUCGCCUAUGACGAAGCGUGUAUGACGGUAAUGGGUAAAGAAGCACCGGCUAACUACGUG